GACGUAGGAGGCGAGCGUUGUCCGGAUUCAUUGGGCGUAAAGAGCGCGCAGGCGGUCGUUCAAGUCGAGUGUGAAAGCCCCCGGCUCAACUGGGGAGGGUCACUCGAUACUGAUCGACUUGAAGGCAGGAGAGGGAAGCGGAAUUCCCGGUGUAGUGGUGAAAUGCGUAGAUAUCGGGAGGAACACCAGUGGCGAAGGCGGCUUCCUGGCCUGUUCUUGACGCUGAGGCGCGAAAGCUAGGGGAGCAAACGGG
rnacentral:rRNA from 1 species